AGGACGAACGCUGGCGGCGCGCCUAACACAUGCAAGUCGAGCGAGAACCGGGGCUUCGGUCCCGGGGACAGCGGCGAACGGGUGCGUAACACGUGAGCAACCUGCCCCGAAGACCGGGACAACCCGAGGAAACUCGGACUAAAUACCGGAUGUCCUCACCGGAUCGCAUGGUCUGGUGAGGAAAUGGAUUCCGCUUCGGGAUGGGCUCGCGGUCUAUCAGCUUGUUGGUGGGGUAACGGCCUACCAAGGCGACGACGGAUAGCUGGUCUGAGAGGACGAUCAGCCACACUGGGACUGAGACACGGCCCAGACUCCUACGGGAGGCAGCAGUGGGGAAUCUUGCGCAAUGGGGGAAACCCUGACGCAGCGACGCCGCGUGCGGGAUGAAGGCCUUCGGGUUGUAAACCGCUUUCAGCAGGGACGAAAUUGACGGUACCUGCAGAGAAGGCCCGGCCAACUACGUGCCAGCAGCCGC
rnacentral:rRNA from 1 species